AAGAUUUUUACAUUUCAAUAUCGCCGUAUCUCAUUGUCAUUCGUACUUCUUCUAUAAACCUCGGUUAGUUUCGCCGGGGUUUUU
rnacentral:ncRNA from 18 species